rnacentral:rRNA from 1 species
UACGGAGGGUGCAAGCGUUAUCCGGAUUCACUGGGUUUAAAGGGUGCGUAGGUGGGCAGGUAAGUCAGUGGUGAAAUCUCCGAGCUUAACUCGGAAACUGCCAUUGAUACUAUCUGUCUUGAAUUAUCUGGAGGUGAGCGGAAUAUGUCAUGUAGCGGUGAAAUGCUUAGAUAUGACGUAGAACACCGAAAUUGCGAAGGCAGCUCACUACGGAUAUAUUGACAACUGAGGGCACGAAAGCGUGGGGAUCAAACAGG